GAAGGUGGCGAGCGUUGUUCGGAAUCACUGGGCUUAAAGCGCGCGUAGGCGGAAUGGAUAGUGUCUUGUGAAAGCCCCCGGCUUAACCGGGGAAUUGCUUGGCAUACUUCCAUUCUUGAGGUAAGUAGGGGUACAUGGAACUCUUGGUGGAGCGGUGGAAUGCGUAGAUAUCAAGAGGAACGCCAAUGGUGAAGACAGUGUACUGGGCUUAUUCUGACGCUGAGGUGCGAAAGCGUGGGGAGCGAACGGGGAUUAGAUACCCCGGUAGUCCACGCCGUAAACGAUGUCUACUAGGUUGUGGAGGUUCUGACACCCUCACAGUCGAAGCAAAAGUGUUAAGUAGACCGCCUGGGGAAGUACGGUCGCAAGGCUAA
rnacentral:rRNA from 1 species